rnacentral:lncRNA from 1 species
CUCUCUCUCUCUCUCUCUCUCUCUCUCUCUCUCUCUCUCUCUCUCUCUCUCACUCACUCUCUCUCGUCUGCGUAUCCUUGUCCUGUCCUCUUCUACCCUCACAGUAGGCAGGAGUGGUGUCUGGUGUUCGCUGAACGGAGUCGCCUCUACUGGGCCCGUGAUUUGUGCAGGUGUUCGGAACACAGUUGCCGGGGAUGGCGCCUCCUCUUGUGGAUCUGUCCACCACCACCCUCCCCCCUUCACCCACUACCCACCACCUUCCCUGUGUUGCCUGCUCCACCGUCUUUUUCUUUGGGAUUCCGUGUCUUAACAAUUCAUACUGCUUUCUUCCUUUUAAAAUUCUCUCCUUUCGCAAAA